rnacentral:lncRNA from 1 species
CCUCGCUUCCAGUCUCACCCUAACUUCUUUCUUCGUCGACGCCAUUCAUCCCUCAGGAAACCCUUCCAGCUGGAGCUGGACUCUGGCACACAAUAGCUUGUAAUGUUCAGUGGGACAAAGAAAGAAAGGUGCCGCCUAGGAGAACAACAUCAAGGAAUUUGAACUCAGAGAGCUGCGGAAGACUCUAGAAAGAGCUCAAGCAGAGCAGGAGGCCCUGCAGAGGCCGCUGGCGGAGUUCCAGGGCCAGCUGGCAGUGAACACCUUGGUGUUCCUUUCAGAACCAGCGGCAGAGGCUGGAGGUGGAGCUGGUGGGCCUGAAGACCGACAGGGUCGUCCUGGAGGAGUCUGAGAACCUGAACAUGGUGCUGAUGCUGUCCCACUUCGGCCUGCAAGUAACGGACACGGCGUAAAGUGGUGCCCCACCCCUGCCCCGAUGGGGACCCCAGGAUAUCAAGCAUGAGUGCUGAGGUCGACGUCCACGGAGGCAUCUCUCUGAGCGGAGGGAGGAUGGAGAAUCCCAGGGCCUUGCAGACCGGCAGUCAGCACAGCUCUGCUGAGCGAGGAGAAAUAAAUCGUGCGUGUGUGUUUGUGUUUGCACAACAGACUCAAUCUGUCUUUUGUGUCUGGGGCUCAGCAGAGCAUCUGCCCUGUGAGGACUCCUCCCAUGGGCUAAGAGUUGAGCAGCUUUGUCUUGGGAAGAUUCAAGUAGAGUGCAUCUGUCUCUCUGCAUCUAACAUCCACAGAGAGUUCAAGUGCACACCCACCCUCACAGGGAACACAGGCCGAGCAGCCCCCUGUGUGUGCACCCGCCUUCCUCUCGUGGUCAGUCUCUGUGACUCAGGCAUGCUUUGGUGUCCUCUACUGAAUUAUGAGGACAGCAGUCGCCACCCAUCAGCCUCAAAGGGUGGGGUGAAGAUCGAGUGACACAGCAGCUUGCCUGAGUCCCUCAGAAGCUGACCCUGAGACAGGAAUUGCAUGCAAGUGAGUUACUGCGGAGGUGAUCCCAGGUAGGAGGUUGGCGCAGUGAGGCAGGGAAGCAAAGACAGCCAUGAAACC